AAACAAUGAGAACAGUGCUAGCAGAGAAGCACUACCUGUGAAUCUGCUAUUACUCAAAGAAGAACUAUUCAAACCAUUGCUAGCAUCAGAUAUUAGGAUUUUAAGUAAAUGUUCACUAAUUUGGUAGUGGAAAUGAUGUUCUAAUGUGGCUCUUUGAUUACCAACAAGGGUUAAACAUUUAAUUAUCAGUGGUUUUGUCUUCUAGGAAUUCUUUUACUCACAUGGUUCUUUGAGGGCCUUAAUGUGUUUCUUACUGAUCUGUAAAACUUAUUAGCAUAGUGACCCUUUAUGUAUGUUAUAUUUGUUGUCAAUAUUUUCCUCAGUUUGCCUUUUGACUUUUUAGAAUAUAGAGUAGCUAAGCAAUAACUGUUGCUUGAAUCAGUGUUGUCUUACUGAGCCAUCCACAUUCUCAUCCCUUCUCAACAGGAAUGACCCCAAGUUUAUCAGAAGGCUCCUGUGGCUCCAGGGUCAACUCUGGGCAUAUCUGACUACAUCACUCCACCCCUACCAUGGUCUCUCCUCUGUACCCCAGCGUUCCAGGACAUCAUCAAGAAAGUGAACAGACAACACACACACAGAAUGAGAGAAAAUAUUUGCAAAUCAUUGGUAAAGGACUGGAAUUGGUAUGUCAAAUAUGUGAACAAGUCUUACAACUCAAUAAUAGAAUGACAACCCAACUUUAAAAUGGGCAAAGGAUGUGAAUAGAUAUUUCUCCAAAGAAGAUAUACAAAUGAUCAAUAAACAUGGGAAAAGACAGCCAACAUCAUUCAUUGUUAGGAAAAUGAAAAUCAAAACCACAAUGAGAUACCACUUUGUACCCACUAAUAUGGCUAUAAUAAAAAGGACAGAUAAUAAGCGUUGCUGAGGAUGUGGAGAAAUUGGAAACCUCAUCCACUGCUUGGGGAAAUGGAAAAUGGUGCACCCACUUUGGAAAGCAGCUGGCUGUUCUUCAAAACAUUAAACUGAGUUACCAUCCAACCCAGCAAUUCCACUGCUAGUUAUCUACCUGAGAGAAAUGAAAACAUGUCCUCAUAACAACUUUCACAGGAAUGUUCAUAGUAGCAUUAUGCAUAAUAGCAAAGAAGUGGAAACAACUCAUAUGUCCAUAAACUGCUGGAUAAACAAAAGGUGGUAUAUCCAUUCUGUGAAAUAUUAUUUGGUAAUAAAAAGAAAUGAAGUACUGAUGCAUGCAUGGAUGAACCUUGAAAAUAUUUUGCUAAGAAGCCAGUCACAAAAGACCACAUAUUGUAUGUUUCCAUUUAUAUGAAAUAAAACAGACACAUCCAUGGACAGAAAGUAGGUUAGUAGUUGCCUAGGGCUGAGGAGUGAAUGGAUUGUGGGGAGGUGUUGAGAGGUGAAAGCUAAGGGUGUAGGGUUUCUUUUCGUGGUAAUGACAGUGUUCUAAAAUUGAUUGUGGCCAUGGAUGCACAACUCUGUGACUAUACCAAAAACUUAACUCUUACAAUUAUAAAUAAAUUGUAUGGUAUGGGAAUUAUAUUUCAAUGAAAUUGUUAUUAAAAACAACUCUUUGCCCAGCGGACACCCAAACCUUUCCCCAGCGGACACCCAAACCUUUCCCCAAGAUGGCUGUAAAUUAUCUUGGGGUGGGAAUGGGGAGGUCCUCCUUUGGUCCUAGCUCUUGAUCCAAUAAUUCUGACGUCAUCUACAACACGUUUACCUAGAAAUGAAACUCAGCUCUUUGCUGAAGUUCUAUCCUCCCAAACCACCCUUCUUUCCCUUCCUAGGAAGCAUUCAUGAUUUCACUGUAGAUGGGGCAGGG
rnacentral:lncRNA from 1 species